AUGAGAUCCAUUUUGUAUCGGCAUUCUUCUUACGCCCUAAUGCCUCCGCCUCUUGCUGUGGCAUCUUUGGUGGCCUCUCCUGUGCGUGCACGUGCCUCGGCGCCGGUCUUUCCCACGUCUUUUGCGGUUGACUGUGCUUCGAUUUCGUCCCUCAGUCUCACGAAUAGCUCCCUGCUGCUGGUCCAUAUGAUGUUGAUGUUGAUGCUCGGGAAGCUGCUGGUUCAUCCGUUCAUGUUGAUGUUGAUGCUCGGAGGCGUGCGAUUUUGUUGGCCAAAUGGCCUAUUGAUUCUACGGAUGGUAUUGUUUCUUUUCUUUGUUUUUUGUAUUUUUCCUCUCCUUUUCUGUUUUUUCUACAUUUCAUCUUCUGCAUUUGCUUGCUACUCAUAUUCAGAGGGAUACUCACUGAUGCGUAUGUUAUCCGAUUAA
rnacentral:rRNA from 1 species